rnacentral:rRNA from 1 species
GGACCCGCACAAAUAGUGGAGCAUGUGGUUUAAUUCGAAGAUACGCGCAGAACCUUACCAACACUUGACAUGUUCGUCGCGACUCUAAGAGAUUAGAGUUUUCGGUUCGGCCGGACGAAACACAGGUGCUGCAUGGCUGUCGUCAGCUCGUGUCGUGAGAUGUUGGGUUAAGUCCCGCAACGAGCGCAACCCUCACUUUUAGUUGCCAUCAUUAAGUUGGGCACUCUGAAAGAACUGCCAGUGAUAAGCUGGAGGAAGGUGGGGAUGACGUCAAGUCCUCAUGGCCCUUACGUGUUGGGCUACACACGUGCUACAAUGGUAUCUACAACAGGAAGCAAAACAGCGAUGUUAAGCAAAUCCUUAAAAGAUACCUCAGUUCGGAUUGCACUCUGCAACUCGAGUGCAUGAAGCUGGAAUUACUAGUAAUCGUGGAU